rnacentral:rRNA from 1 species
ACAGGAUUAGAUACCCUGGUAGUCCACGCCGUAAACGAUGUCGAUUUGGAGGUUGUGCCCUUGAGGCGUGGCUUCCGGAGCUAACGCGUUAAAUCGACCGCCUGGGGAGUACGGCCGCAAGGUUAAAACUCAAAUGAAUUGACGGGGGCCCGCACAAGCGGUGGAGCAUGUGGUUUAAUUCGAUGCAACGCGAAGAACCUUACCUGGUCUUGACAUCCACAGAACUUUCCAGAGAUGGAUUGGUGCCUUCGGGAACUGUGAGACAGGUGCUGCAUGGCUGUCGUCAGCUCGUGUUGUGAAAUGUUGGGUUAAGUCCCGCAACGAGCGCAACCCUUAUCCUUUGUUGCCAGCGGUUAGGCCGGGAACUCAAAGGAGACUGCCAGUGAUAAACUGGAGGAAGGUGGGGAUGACGUCAAGUCAUCAUGGCCCUUACGACCAGGGCUACACACGUGCUACAAUGGCAUAUACAAAGAGAAGCGACCUCGCGAGAGCAAGCGGACCUCAUAAAGUAUGUCGUAGUCCGGAUUGGAGUCUGCAACUCGACUCCAUGAAGUCGGAAUCGCUAGUAAUCGUAGAUCAGAAUGCUACGGUGAAUACGUUCCCGGGCCUUGUACACACCGCCCGUCACACCAUGGGAGUGGGUUGCAAAAGAAGUAGGUAGCUUAACCUUCGGGAGGGCGCUUACCACUUUGUGAUUCAUGACUGGGGUGAAGUCGUAACAAGGUAACCGUAGGGGAACCUGCGGUUG